CACCAGGUUGAUUCUGCCUGACGUGGACGCUAGUCUCACAGAUUUAGCCAUGCAUGUGUAAGCGAAGCUUUUAGUGGAGCGGUGAAAGGCUCAGUAACGGGCGAUUUAUUUGUUCUCCUGUGACGGACAACAUCGGGAAACUGAUGGGAAAACGUCUAAGUUGCAGUUAAUUGAUUGUGACGUAAACGAUUUUGUGCAGGAGAGUAAGAUGCCAUCCUAUCAGUUAGUAAGUAGGGUAAGGGCCUACUUAGACGAAGACGGGUACGGGGAAUGAGGGUUUGAUUCCGGAGAGGGAGCCUGAGAGAUGGCUACCAGGACCAAGGUCAGCAGCAGGCGCGAAAAUUAUCGAAGCCCGCCUAGGGGCGAUAGUGAGGAGACGUGUAUAACGAAGUACGUGUAAAGAACGUGCUAAUAACUGGAGGUCAAGUCUGGUGCCAGCAUCCGCGGUAAUUCCAGCUCCAGGGGUGUCUAUGAUGAUUGCUGCGAUUAAAAAGUCCGUAGUCAAUCUGACUGACUGACCUGCAAUGUGAUUGAUUAAAGAACGAGCAGGGUUAGGAAAGCAGAGAAUUAGGAGCGACCGAGGGCUAGAGUAUUGAAUGGCGAGAGGUGAAAUUUGAUGACCCAUUCAGGAGUGACAAAGGCGAAGGCACUAGUCAAGGGCGAAUCCGAUGAUCAAGGACGUAGGCUAGAGUUUCGAAAACGAUUAGAGACCGGAGUAGUUCUAGCAGUAAACUAUGCCGACGCCGUGGUAUCAUUUUGGUAUUGCGGAAGAGAAAUCAAGUAAGGCUUUGGGGAGAGUACGCGCGCAAGCGAUAAAUUUAAAGGAAAUU
rnacentral:rRNA from 1 species